AUAUAAAGCUCCCUAGUGAGUGACACAGCCAGUUUCUCUGUAGUUAAGGAAACUGAGACGCCAACCCUUGCAUUUAACAGGAAAACAAUAAAAUAAAAGCAGCCAGGGACAGAGGUAUCUACGAUAGAUACUAAUGCUUGGAGACCAUUAUCACUAUUCCAUCAAGGCAGAUGGAAACUGCAUAUCUACCUACAUGCUGGUGUGACCGGAGAGUUCCCCCAACCUUUCUUCAUACUGAAAAGUUUGAGACUGACACCUGAACACUGCAGCUGGAAGAAUCCCAUGGCCCAGCUCUCUCAUGUAUUGCCCGUCCUUUAGGCUGAUGCCCAUUGGUAUCAGGGAUUUAGUUCAGCCGUUCAUCUGCACUCCUCUCCUAUGUUUUCUGUGUCUCCCAGGACAAUUUUAAUUGUCUGCCGGCAACGGAAACACCAGGGAGGAUGGGGACAGUGUAACCUUACCGUUUCAUUAGGCAAACUUACUCGCAGCCUUGGGUUUUCUGCUUUCAGAGUGAUUUGGACACAGGCAGUUAGGGGGACUGAGACUCUCAUCCACACCUUGUCCUCUUUAGACUAUGCAUGCCUUAGCUACCAGUUUUUAGUAUCCCUGGCGUCCUCCAUAGCUGCAGGCUCCACCGCCUAGGACCUGGCCUUGCUUACAGGCAGUGUACUAACUUUGUCGGGCCCUCUGGAUAUCGCCUUGUUCCUUUUGUCUGAUUAAGGAGAGAAGACAUUUUUUUCAUCCUUCCUAGGUUUCAGUUCCUGCCAGCCUCAUUUGCCCUCCUCUCAAAAGGUAUUAUUUUUUUGGCAUUCAGUUUUCAUUCAAUUGUAUGUGCUGACCACCUAUUGUGUGCAAGUAAUUGAAAUUAAUAUAGGUACUGGUUGGAAAACUUUUUGACAUCUCAAAACAAACAAACAAACAAACCCAAACCAACUUCUGGUAUAUGGAUUUUUAAACAUUAUUUCUCUCGCUAGUGUGAUAGUUUCCCAUUAAACAGCUAUUGGGGCGUGGCUAUACUGUCUGUGCACUUAUUUGCAACUUGCCUUACAAUUUUGUGUGACAGUUCUAAGUGUAUGUCUACAUAUCUUCACUGUAUCUAAAAUGGCAAUUAGAUACUAAUGUAUCAAGUAGAUGCGUAAGUAACUCUGUAAAGGAAUGGAUUCAGAACCUGAUAAAAGCCAGAAAUUAUCAC